rnacentral:rRNA from 1 species
AUUGAACGCUGGCGGCAUGCUUUACACAUGCAAGUCGAGCGGCAGCGCGGGGCUUUGGGCAACUGAAGUUUUGGCGGCGAGCGGCGAACGGGUGAGUAACACAUCGGAACGUACCGACAAGUGGGGGAGUAGCUCGGCGAAAGCCGGAUUAAUACCGCAUAUGCUGUGCGCAGGAAAGCUGGGGCUCUGUGAGGACCUGGUGCUUGUUGAGCGGCCGAUGUCCGAUUAGCUAGUUGGUGGGGUAAAGGCCUACCAAGGCGACGAUCGGUAGCUGGUCUGAGAGGAUGAUCAGCCACACUGGGACUGAGACACGGCCCAGACUCCUACGGGAGGCAGCAGUUGGGGAAUUUUGGACAAUGGGGCAACCCUGAUCCAGCCAUGCCGCGUGAGUGAAGAAGCCUCGUUGUAAG